AUAAAUAAAAAGAGGAAGAGAAUUACAUACUGAAAACUUUGCUUUUAUUAUUGCUGCCACCACCAUCGCUACUUUGGACGUGUGGAAAGUAAGGUGGAGGGGCAGAAUACCAGAGUGGCAAGCAUCUAUUAUUCCUACAGCAUUAUUAAAUACUGAUUGUGCGAACCUGCCCACCAAUACACAGUUUUGCUAUUACAUAUAUACUGUUAACCUUACCUGCACUGGGGACAGACGGGAAAUGAGAGAGUGUUCCUCGUGUUUGGUGAUGAGGGACUAGACAGAGCAAUGGUGUACUUGUAACACGUGGUGUUUGAUGGUGGUCACUAUACAAAUUAUUUCUGUAUAUUGCUCGUUUCAUAUUUGUUUGUUUCAUAGUAUUUGCUCGUUUCAUAUGAUAACUACCUGGGAAUAAUGAGUGUUAAUGAGUGUUUCAUUCGUGUAUGAAUCCCUCGAGCGGUAAACCGAGGGAAGGUGGCUCAGGGAGGGAGGUCAAGCCGGUAGUCUGUCUGUGGUAUAGCAGCCGCACACACCUUGUUGGAUUGAAGCCUGUGGAUUUAUUCCCUGUGAGCGCCAGCGACUGUUGGACCGUUCACCCUCACGUUCACCCUCACGUUCACCCUGUCGUUCACCCUCACGUUCACCAUAUGGGACAAGUAAACACACACAAGAAUGAACGAGUGUCAAUAACGAGGCGUAAUAAUAUACCAAGAAGAAAUACCCUUGUGUGACGCCCCUGAGUGGGUGUUACAGUACUCAUAACCUUACCUGCAGCUUAGACAGGUGGGAACAAAACCAAGUAUUCCUAUAUUACAUUGUUUUGUCAUAAGCAACAAGACAGAACAGUGGCGGAGGGACAGUAAACUUGUAUUCAGUUAAAUGUGCAGUCAUGGUGAAUAGUUGAGUAACAUACCGCUCCGUGCUUACUGUUUUUAGUGUUAUUCAUCUAUCUUUAAGUCCUUUAAUGUGCUGACUAAUUAGGAUAAAGAGACUCGUGAGGAGGGAAGUUGUUGUGUGAACAGGACGUAAAUGCUGCGUUGUCUGUGAUGUAUAAAAAUAAGAGUGGGAAGGGGAAGAUUUUACUUACGUUUGUUUCGUUUUAGCAUGAGCGGAAGGUUCCAGCCAGUGUCGUUAGUGCAAUAAAAAUUUUAACAUAGGGAAAAGUGCUACAGAAGCUUAACGUAGAAAUAUUCUGACAUCAAAGAAAAAAGUUGAACACAAAGAUAAUCUCUUUGUCUGAGCAUGAGUGUUUGUAAUCAGAAUAAAAAUGGUUCUGAAAAAAAAAAUAAAAAUGUAUGUAAAAUGUA